rnacentral:rRNA from 1 species
CACGUAGGGUGCGAGCGUUGUCCGGAAUUAUUGGGCGUAAAGAGCUCGUAGGCGGUGUGUCGCGUCGGCCGUGAAAACCUGCAGCUUAACUGUGGGCGUGCGGUCGAUACGGGCAUCACUGGAGUUCGGCAGGGGAGACUGGAAUUCCUGGUGUAGCGGUGAAAUGCGCAGAUAUCAGGAGGAACACCGGUGGCGAAGGCGGGUCUCUGGGCCGAUACUGACGCUGAGGAGCGAAAACGUGGGGAGCGAACAGG